rnacentral:rRNA from 1 species
UACGUAGGGGGCAAGCGUUAUCCGGAAUCACUGGGCGUAAAGGGUGCGUAGGUGGUUCGACAAGUCAGAAGUGAAAGGCUACGGCUUAACCGUGGUAAGCUUUUGAAACUGUUGAACUUGAGUGCAGGAGAGGUAAGUGGAAUUCCUAGUGUAGCGGUGAAAUGCGUAGAUAUUAGGAGGAACACCAGUGGCGAAGGCGACUUACUGGACUGUAACUGACACUGAGGCACGAAAGCGUGGGGAGCAAACAGG